ACGCACGCUGGCGGCCUGCCUCACACAUGCCAGUCGCACGCACCCUUCGGGGUUAGUGGCGCACGGGUGCGUAACGCGUGGGAAUCUGCCCUUUGCUUCGGAAUAACUCAGGGAAACUUGUGCUAAUACCGGAUGAUGUCUUCGGACCAAAGAUUUAUCGGCAAGGGAUGAGCCCGCGUAGGAUUAGGUAGUUGGUGGGGUAAAGGCCUACCAAGCCGACGAUCCUUAGCUGGUCUGAGAGGAUGAUCAGCCACACUGGGACUGAGACACGGCCCAGACUCCUACGGGAGGCAGCAGUGGGGAAUAUUGGACAAUGGGCGCAAGCCUGAUCCAGCAAUGCCGCGUGAGUGAUGAAGGCCCUCGGGUCGUAAAGCUCUUUUACCAGGGAUGAUAAUGACAGUACCUGGAGAAUAAGCGCCGGCUAACUCCGUG
rnacentral:rRNA from 1 species